rnacentral:rRNA from 1 species
GACGAACGCUGGCGGCGUGCUUAACACAUGCAAGUCGAGCGGAAAGGCUCCUUCGGGGGUACUCGAGCGGCGAACGGGUGAGUAACACGUGAGUAAUCUGCCCUUGGCUUCGGGAUAGCCACCGGAAACGGUGAUUAAUACCGGAUACGACAACUUCUCGCAUGGGAUGGUUGUGGAAAGUUUUUUCGGCCAGGGAUGUGCUCGCGGCCUAUCAGCUUGAUGGUGAGGUAAUGGCUCACCAUGGCUUCGACGGGUAGCCGGCCUGAGAGGGUGACCGGUCACACGGGGACUGAGACACGGCCCAGACUCCUACGGGAGGCAGCAGUGGGGAAUAUUGGACAAUGGGCGGUAGCCUGAUCCAGCAACGCCGCGUGAGGGAUGACGGCCUUCGGGUUGUAAACCUCUUUCGGUAGGGACAAAGCGCAAGUGACGGUACCUACUAAAGAAGCACCGGCCAACUACGUGCCAGCAGCCGCCGUAA